rnacentral:rRNA from 1 species
GAUGAACGCUAGCUACAGGCUUAACACAUGCAAGUCGAGGGGAAACGACAUCGAAAGCUUGCUUUUGAUGGGCGUCGACCGGCGCACGGGUGAGUAACGCGUAUCCAACCUGCCCACCACUUGGGGAUAACCUUGCGAAAGUAAGACUAAUACCCAAUGAUAUCCCACGAAGGCAUCCGAAUGGGAUUAAAGAUUUAUCGGUGAUGGAUGGGGAUGCGUCUGAUUAGCUUGUUGGCGGGGUAACGGCCCACCAAGGCUACGAUCAGUAGGGGUUCUGAGAGGAAGGUCCCCCCACAUUGGAACUGAGACACGGUCCAAACUCCUACGGGAGGCAGCAGUGAGGAAUAUUGGUCAAUGGGCGAAGCCUGAACCAGCCAAGUAGCGUGCAGGACGACGGCCCUAUGGGUUGUAAACUGCUUUUAUGCGGGGAUAAAGUGGGCCACGCGUGGCCUUUUGCAGGUACCGCAUGAAUAAGGACCGGCUAAUUCCGUG